rnacentral:lncRNA from 1 species
AGGGAGACAUCUAUCCAGCACUUCUUGGUGGAAAAUACUAUCCUAUAUCGCCGGUAUAUUGCUGACAUUCUCCUCGUUACAGAUGUGCCUGUCGACUUGGAGGAUGUGCUCUCCGAUGAAUCCUUAGGAUUGGGAUUGAUUAAGCAGCGAGGGAGUGGCCAAGAGAUUGACUUUCUGGACAUGGAGAUUGGGAUUGUCGGGGGUGGGUGCGAUCUUGGUGUGUGCCGCGGGCACACAUGUGUGCCAAUGUUCGUGCCGGCGGUGUCGCGGGGGCCGUGGACGUUUGGGAUGGCGGCUUUCCGGUCGCUCCUAUACAGAGUGGAUGCGCACUGCACGACAUACCGCAGUAGAAUGGAGGAGCUUGGCUGGAUUGUGGAGCGGGCGGUGCGAAUAGGGUAUGGUGAGGGCGUGAUCCCUAGGUU